UCUCUCUGAACUGUGAAUUGAAAACACUUUCUAGCCAUUAGCCUAGGAUAAAUGAUCCACAUAACUUAAUUUCCCUUCUCUUGGGAAUUAUUAUCUUGCACCAGUUAUUUUCACAUGUAUAAAAACCAUUGUUUCAUAAUUUCUUCUGUAUCGUUUUUUAGUUUUUUAUUUCAGGCAAAGAGGUAAAUUUGUUUCCUGUUACUCCAGCUUGCUUGGAUGUGGUCUUGCUCUGUCGUCCAGGCUGAAGUGCACUGGCAUGAUCUCAGCUCAUUGCAACCUCCACCUUCUGGGCUCAAGCAAUCCUCUUACCUUAGCCUCCUGAGUAACUGAGACCACAAGCAUGCACCACCAUACCAGAAUUUGCUCUAUCCUCAACGUUGCAAAAUGUCUGGGCAUAGGCUGUGUUGCAUUUCUCACGUACAGUAUGAGCAGAGAAGCUUACCCAUUCUGUUGCAGCAGGUCCAGAGAAGUCUCACUGAAGUGCUUUGGUUUUUAUUGAAUUGCAUGCUUAUUAUGUCUGGACAAGAAGAUGUGUACAUGAAGAGGAUGUUUUGAUAGGCCUGACCUGAGAGCUGUAUGCUCACAAUAAAAGCUAGAGACACAGUCAUUUGACAUUAAAACAACUGAGAAAAGAUGAUGAAUCUUGAGAAGAAAUUGGGAUAUUAUGUACAAAAGAGGCGUUAUAAUACUUUAUGGCCAAAACGAAAACAAAAGAAAAAAAAAGCAAGAAAACAAACAAAAUCAAAAAACAAAAAAACUAGCAAUGUUCCACCAUAAAGUUUAAAUGGAUCUUACUUUGGUUCAGACUUUAGAAACGAUUGACAUCUGGGUUAUGUAUAUUUCACUUCCCACGUUCUGCACGGUAAUCUUCUAAACUUUAGCAACUUAUCUUAUUAAUUCCUUUAGGCUUGAUAUGAAGCCUGCCCCAGAUAAGUGCCUCAUAAAAGAAGAAUAAACAAAUGAAUGAAUAAAAGCAAAUGCCAUACUAUAGACUUUUGAGUAAAAAGAUUUUCUCUACAACAUAUUAAAAGAAUGAACCAGCAGAACAAACUUCAAACUUUAAAACAAUGUUGUUUAAGUUAGUCAUGUCUGAGAUGAUAAAUAAAUCAACAGGAGAAAAGUGAACUUCAAAACAUGUAUCUUUAGGAGGAUUUGAAUUGGAAAACCACUGACACUUAAUUGCUAAAGUGACUUUGACUAGUUAUUCAUCUAUGGAAUAGGAAGAAAACUUACUUGAUCGUGUUGGCAUGAUGAUUAAACAUGACUUAUGUACAUGCAAGUGCUGAGCACUAGUCUAUAACCUCUAUGGGCAUUGCGAUCACUAUGACAUAUCCAGAGACUAGCUCAAUUUCUAGUACAUUGGAGGCACUUGAUAAAUGUUUCCUUAAUUUGAAAUCUGAGAACAGGACAUUAAGUUCUUUCACAUUAGAUCCAGCAGUUGAGAUACAUUUUGCUUGUGCUGCAGUUUUCUAUUAUGGAUAUGUAAUGUGUCUAAUAAAGAAAUGAGAAACUAAAA
rnacentral:lncRNA from 1 species